rnacentral:rRNA from 1 species
ACCCGCACAAGCGGUGGAUGAUGUGGUUUAAUUCGAUGCAACGCGAAAAACCUUACCCACCUUUUGACAUGUACGGAAUCCUUUAGAGAUAGAGGAGUGCUCGAAAGAGAGCCGUAACACAGGUGCUGCAUGGCUGUCGUCAGCUCGUGUCGCGAGAUGUUGGGUUAAGUCCCGCAACGAGCGCAACCCCUAUUGUUAGUUGCCAUCAUUCAGUUGGGCACUCUAGCGAGACUGCCGGUAAUAAACCGGAGGAAGGUGGGGAUGACGUCAAAUCAUCAUGCCCCUUAUGACCUGGGCUACACACGUGCUACAAUGGUUGGUACAACGAGUUGCGAGUCGGUGACGGCGAGCUAAUCUCUUAAAGCCAAUCUCAGUUCGGAUUGUAGGCUGCAACUCGCCUACAUGAAGUCGGAAUCGCUAGUAAUCGCGGAUCAGCACGCCGCGGUGAAUACGUUCCCGGGCCUU